rnacentral:rRNA from 1 species
GGGGGAUAUUCGGAUAACGCAUAUUUGCUGGAAUGCUUUAUGCGUCAAAAGGAUUCGUCUGCCCAAGGAUGGGUCUGCGGCCUAUCAGGUAGUAGUGGGUGUAAUGUACCUACUAGCCAGCGACGGGUACGGGUUGUGAGAGCAAGAGCCCGGAGAUGGAUUCUGAGACAUGAAUCCAGGCCCUACGGGGCGCAGCAGGCGCGAAAACUUUACAAUGCGGGAAACCGUGAUAAGGGGACACCGAGUGCCAGCAUCAUAUGCUGGCUGUCCGGAUGUGUAAAAUACAUCCGUUAGCAAGGGCCGGGCAAGACCGGUGCCAGCCGCCGCGGUAACACCGGCGGCCCGAGUGGUGAUCGUGAUUAUUGGGUCUAAAGGGUCCGUAGCCGGUUUGGUCAGUCCUCCGGGAAAUCUGAUAGCUCAACUAUUAGGCUUUCGGGGGAUACUGCCAGACUUGGAACCGGGAGAGGUAAGAGGUACUACAGGGGUAGGAGUGAAAUCUUGUAAUCCCUGUGGGACCACCUGUGGCGAAGGCGUCUUACCAGAACGGGUUCGACGGGUGAGGGACGAAAAGCUGGGGGCACGAACCGGAUUAGAUACCCGGGUAAGUCCCAAGCCCGUUAAACGAUGCUCGCUAAGGGUGUCAAGGGCAUGGGCGCCGAACCG